GAUGAACGCUAGCGGCAGGCCUAAUACAUGCAAGUCGAACGGUGUCUUCGGACAUAGUGGCGCACGGGUGCGUAACACGUAUGCAACCUACCUUACAUUGGGGGAUAGCCUUUCGAAAGGGAGAUUAAUACCGCAUAAGACAGUAGCUGGGCAUCCAGCAGCUGUUAAAGAUUUAUCGAUGUAAGCUGGGCAUGCGUCCAAUUAGCUAGUUGGUGAGGUAACGGCUCACCAAGGCAAUGAUUGGUAGGGGAACUGAGAGGUCAAUCCGCCACACUGGGACUGAGACACGGCCCAGACUCCUACGGGAGGCAGCAGUGGGGAAUAUUGGACAAUGGGGGGAACCCUGAUCCAGCCAUGCCGCGUGUGUGAAGAAGGCCUUAUGGUUGUAAAGCACUUUAAGCGAGGAGGAGGCUACUGAGACUAAUACUCUUGGAUAGUGGACGUUACUCGCAGAAUAAGCACCGGCUAACUCUGUGCCAGCCGCCGCCGUAAUAC
rnacentral:rRNA from 1 species